ACGGAAGGCAGCAGUAGGGAAUCUUCGGCAAUGGGGGCAACCCUGACCGAGCAACGCCGCGUGAGUGAAGAAGGUUUUCGGAUCGUAAAGCUCUGUUGUAAGUGAAGAACGUGUGUGAGAGUGGAAAGUUCACACAGUGACGGUAACUUACCAGAAAGGGACGGCUAACUACGUGCCAGCAGCCGCGGUAAUACGUAGGUCCCGAGCGUUGUCCGGAUUUAUUGGGCGUAAAGCGAGCGCAGGCGGUUUAAUAAGUCUGAAGUUAAAGGCAGUGGCUUAACCAUUGUUCGCUUUGGAAACUGUUAGACUUGAGUGCAGAAGGGGAGAGUGGAAUUCCAUGUGUUGCGGUGAAAUGCGUAGAUAUAUGGAAGAACACCAGUGGCGAAGGCGGCUUUCUGGACUGUAACUGACGUUGAGGCUCGAAAGUGUGGGUAGCAAACAGGAUUAGAUACCCUGGUA
rnacentral:rRNA from 1 species